GACGAACGCUGGCGGCGUGCUUAACACAUGCAAGUCGAACGGAAAGGCCCUGCUUUUGUGGGGUGCUCGAGUGGCGAACGGGUGAGUAACACGUGAGUAACCUGCCCUUGACUUUGGGAUAACUUCAGGAAACUGGGGCUAAUACCGGAUAGGAGCUCCUGCUGCAUGGUGGGAGUUGGAGAGUUUCGGCGGUUGGGGAUGGACUCGCGGCUUAUCAGCUUGUUGGUGGGGUAGUGGCUUACCAAGGCUUUGACGGGUAGCCGGCCUGAGAGGGUGACCGGCCACAUUGGGACUGAGAUACGGCCCAGACUCCUACGGGAGGCAGCAGUGGGGAAUAUUGCACAAUGGGCGGAAGCCUGAUGCAGCAACGCCGCGUGCGGGAUGACGGCCUUCGGGUUGUAAACCGCUUUCGCCUGUGACGAAGCGUGAGUGACGGUAAUGGGUAAAGAAGCACCGGCUAACUACGUG
rnacentral:rRNA from 1 species